UGAGUAUGGCAGAUAAUCGCUUUAACAAAAGAGGAAAGUCCGGGCUGCAAUAAGACAAGGUUCCAUCUAACAGAUGGCUAGAGCAAUCUAAGGGAAAGUGUAACAGAAAAUAAACAACUUUUAUAAGUUAAGGUGAAAAGGUGAGGUAAGAGCUUACCAGUGCUACGGUGAUGAAAAAGCCUAGCAGCUUAUAAACCCAACCUGCAGCAAGAAGGGGUGGUUUUAGUCUUAUGUUUUUAGCCCUUCGCUAGAGCGUUUUUGUGAAAAAACGAGUAGAUAAAUGAUUAUCAAAUACAGAAUCCGGCUUACAGCCAUACUUUUUAC
rnacentral:RNase_P_RNA from 1 species